AACGAACGCUGGCGGCAUGCCUAACACAUGCAAGUCGAACGAGACCUUCGGGUCUAGUGGCGCACGGGUGCGUAACGCGUGGGAACCUGCCCUUAGGUUCGGAAUAACUCCCCGAAAGGGGUGCUAAUACCGGAUAAUGUCUUCGGACCAAAGAUUUAUCGCCUUUGGAUGGGCCCGCGUUGGAUUAGCUAGUUGGUAGGGUAAAAGCCUACCAAGGCGACGAUCCAUAGCUGGUCUGAGAGGAUGAUCAGCCACACUGGGACUGAGACACGGCCCAGACUCCUACGGGAGGCAGCAGUGGGGAAUAUUGGACAAGGGGCGAAAGCCUGAUCCAGCAAUGCCGCGUGAGUGAUGAAGGCCUUAGGGUUGUAAAGCUCUUUUACCCGGGAUGAUAAUGACAGUACCGGGAGAAUAAGCUCCGGCUAACUCCGG
rnacentral:rRNA from 1 species